UCAGCUUUAUUGUCCUACAAGAGGAACAUCAGGAAACAAACAACAGUCAGACAUAAAAAGCACCACCCACCUGGCCAUAGGAGGAAGAUACAUGGAACUGUUUAGAAUUGUGAUAGUCCCUGGGAUGAAACUCCUGAAGCGUGCAGUGAGAUAUUUAAUAGUCUGAAAUCUCUGACCUGAUGGGAGAAGAUCAAAGCAGUGGAGGAGUGGAUAGUCUGGGCUGGAGAUCAUGUGGUGGGCUUUACUCUGGAUAGCUCCUUCAUUAAGAAGGAACCGUUUUGGAGUGUAGAGUCCAAUCAGUUUAGAUGCCGUGUCGUGGAUCCUUAAUAGUUUAUUGUGGUGUGAGACUGUGUGCAUGUUGUGGUAGCAGAUACUUCAGUAGAUAAGUAGUGGUGAUGAUGCUCUGGUAGACUAGCUGAAGGAGUUUGGGUUUGACAGACAGGUUGAUCAGACGCCUGAUGACAGACAGACGUUGCUGAGACUUCUUUGUUAUUUCAGUGGUGUGUUGAUCGAAGGUGAGCUUGUGGUCUUAUGUAAUUCAGAGGUACUUGAAUGAAGGAACCAUUUCAACAGCCUCUCCUCUGAUGAGGACAGGGCCGUUACAGGUUAUUUAUUUUGUUUUGGAGACGUGGAGAUUCAGGUAGUUGUUGUGGCAACAUUACCUGAAUUGGGUAACAGAUUAUCUGUAUUGCUGGAAGGGGGUCAUUCAGGAAGGACAGGAUGGCUGUGUUAUCAGAACACUUGAAAAGGAGGGUUUUGUGGUCUGUGCUUUGUCAGUUAUUGGUGUAUAGGGUGCAGACACUGAAAAUGUGUUAUGCUGUAAACAUUUCUGAGUUUUAAUGUCUUUAUAUAUCUCUUCAGCUAUUCUGCAACAAAUGGUUAAAGUGUUUCCAAGCUGUAGUCUACAUUCCAUCAUCACAAAUUGUCCCUCUUCUACCUGUGUGUGUCCCUCCUCUCCUCUAGGCAGAACCAGAUGAUAAUGUGGUCUACAGCUCACUAGCAUAACACCACACAGACUCUCAGGUAAGGGUAACAUGUUUCUAUGAAGUGCUGAAGUUGAGGUCAGGGACUGAGACUGGACACAUGCUGAAACUCUGAAGACAGGAGCAGUACCCUACAGCAGAACAUUGAUGUCACCAGAAGAAAUGUCUUAACGGUGACUAUGAGUGGACUGAAGAUGGAAAACACUGGCUGGUACAGGUGUGGAUUGGGAGACCUUAUGAAACCUGUUCACAUCACAGUCAGACAAUAAACCACAACACAAAGUACCUCCACUAUGACCACAACCCAAGCUCCAACCAAUUAAUGCUGAGUCUGUUCAGACUGACCACAACACAGUCCAAGGACCUGAGCCUGUUCAGACUGACAACAACACAGUCCAAGGACCUGAGUCUGUUCAGACUGACCAACUCCAAGGACCUUAGCCUGUUCAGACUGACAACAACACAGUCAAGGACUGAGUCUGUUCAGACUGACCACAACACGUCAAGGACCUAGCCUGUUCAGA